AUGUUGGAUCCUAAAGAGAUACCACUUCCUCAUGAAUAUAUCUUGAAUCGGGACCUUUUGGCUCAACUUUAUCCUAGUUUUGCCGAAGGAGCAACCCCUUUUUUCACUUUAAAUUGGUCCAAAUACGCAAAAUUUCUGACUUUUCGCGGAGGACUAGAUCCAGUAACCGGUGGUCUCUGGCUGACCGAUAUUGCGCACCAUCAUUUAGCUAUUGCUAUUAUUUUCCUAAUCGCAGGUCAUAUGUAUAGGACCAAUUGGGGUAUUGGCCAUGGACUUAAAGAUAUUUUGGAGGCUCACAAGGGCCCAUUUACAGGACAAAGCCAUAAGGGUCUUUAUGAAAUCUUAACAACGUCAUGGCAUGCUCAAUUAUCUCUUAACCUAGCUAUGCUAGGCUCUACAACCAUUGUUGUAGCUCAUCAUAUAUAUUCUAUGCCUCCCUAUCCAUACCUAGCUACUGACUAUGGUACACAACUUUCCUUGUUCACACACCACAUGUGGAUUGGCGGAUUUCUAAUAGUCGGUGCUGCUGCACAUGCAGCAAUUUUUAUCGUAAGAGACUAUGAUCCAACUACUCGAUACAACGAUCUAUUAGAUCGUGUCCUUAGACACCGCGAUGCAAUCAUAUCCCACCUUAAUUGGGUAUGUAUAUUUCUAGGUUUUCACAGUUUUGGCUUGUACAUUCAUAAUGAUACCAUGAGUGCUUUAGGCCAUCCACAAGAUAUGUUUUCGGAUACUGCCAUACAAUUACAACCUAUCCUUGCUCAAUGGGUACAAAAUAUCCAUGCUACUGCGCCUGACGUAACAGCUCCUGGUGCAACAACAAGUACUAGCUUAACGUGGGGAGGCGGCGAGUUAGUAGCAGUAGGUGUCAAAGUGGCUUUGUUACCUAUUCCAUUAGGAACCACAUAUUUUUUAGUCCAUCACAUUCAUGCAUUUACCAUACAUGUGACUGUAUUAAUACUUUUGAAAGGUGUUUUAUUUGCUCGGAGUUCCCGUUUGAUACCCGAUAAAGCAAAUCUAGGUUUUCGCUUUCCUUGCGAUGGGCCUGGCCGAGGGGGAACAUGUCAAGUAUCCGCCUGGGAUCAUGUUUUCUUAGGUUUAUUCUGGAUGUACAAUGCAAUUCCGGUAGUCAUUUUCCAUUUCAGUUGGAAAAUACAGUCGGAUGUUUGGGGUACUAUAAGUGAUCAACGGGUGGUAACUCAUAUUACAGGGGGAAACUUUGCAUAG
rnacentral:rRNA from 1 species